GGGGAUAUAGCUCAGAAGUACAGCACCUGCCUGGCAAGCAGGUCCUGAGUUUGAUUCUCAGUACCUACC
rnacentral:tRNA from 1 species